ACGGACUGGCUCAAUGAACUAUAAUCAUUCACGAGCAACUUGAGGUUCAUGAGUAAUGUAUGCCAUCUAUCUCAUCUAAACUAAUUUGUGUUGAGUCGUUGACAUUUUAUUUUAUAUGGUUCUGUUGUCUGGUAAUUUAGGUAAAUGAACCAAGAUUGUUGGUCUAAUUACUCAUCUACUCAGUGUUUUUUUUUUUUUCCUUCUCUUAAGAAAAAAUCACAUGGCUACCAGUGUUUGUCUUCUUUGAGUUAAUAUAGAAACAUUACUACGUUUGCUUUUCCUAUCUCAUUUCUAAUAAGAGGGCACACUAUUUUCUUUUCCAAAGUACACUAAUUUGACAAGGCAUUAUGAUAGAUUUAAGGUGUCUGAACCUUCAUGUACUACUUAGUUUGCUACUUAUCUUUAAUUCCAUAUGCAUUGGUUGCAAUAUGUGUUGUUGAUCUCAAUGUUUCUCCCUUUAUGAAAUUUGAUAUCUACUAAUAUUUCUUGAUAAAUCAGUCUGCGCUUGCAAGUCAUUUUUGACCUUGUAGACGCGAUAUGAUUGUUAUAUUUUCAUCCUUUCACUGUCCAUGUUUUUGUGGUCUCUAUCUAGUAAGGUUCAAAUUGUUUUCAUCUCUGUGAUUGAUCCUUUCUCAGAACUUCCAAUGGUAAAGAGAACAGAUUUUAUCACUUAAUUAGCUCAUGCAAAUGGAUCAAGGAGUUCUGCUGACGAGAAAGGUUUAGUGUUGAUGAGCCCUUAAAGUGCCCACUUAUGAUUUGAGGUACAAAAUUCCAUUCUCGACUCAGUUACUCACUUUGAAUCCUUCUUCCAAUUUAAAACUAAUGAUUCAUACAAGGGUAACAUGUGAAAAGUUGAAAGUUAUUAACAGGAGAAUUUGACAAUUAUCCGAAAAAUUUGUUUGCUGGCCCAUCUAUUUACUACAUAUCAUAAACUGAAUUCUUAUAAUUGAUUCUUCUACAAAACAACUUUUGUACAUAAUGUUGCCCUGUGUGAAAUGACAGAUGGUCUUAUAGAUGGAGAACUCUUCUAUUUGAAUGACGUUGAUGCCUAAACUGGGGGUAUUAAUGGGGU
rnacentral:lncRNA from 1 species